AAAUAGAUACAUACAGCUAUCAAAUGCUAUACCAUGAAACUCCAACUUUGUCUCCUCAACUCAAGAAAACUUCAAGCUCCAGUUUGAUUAUUCCUAUCCAAUGGUUAAUUUUUUGUGUUAACUUCUCGUCAUUUACAUUAGGUAUUUCUCCUAAUGCUAUCCCUCCCCCUGACCCCUACCCCACGACUGAAUGAAAAUAGUCAUUUUCAUGACUAUUUUCACGACUGUGAUUUUUACUUACUUCCUGCCUGCUUGCAUUUGGUAAAAAACAAAUAAAAAACAAUCCUAGCUGUUAGAAUAUGUGUGUGGUCGGAAUUCUUACACAAGAGCCGGGACCGCGCCCUGUAGCCUUUCUGUCCAAACAACUUGACCUUACUGUUUUAGCCUAGCCCUCAUGUCUGCAUGCAGCAGCUGCCGCUGCUUUAGUACUUUUAGAGGCCCUCAAAAAUCACAAACUAUGCUCAACUCACUCUCUACAGUUCUCAUCACUUCCAAAAUCUACUUUCUUCCUCCCACCUGACGCAUAUACUUUCUGCCCCCUGGCUCCUUCAGC
rnacentral:lncRNA from 1 species